CUCCUCUCAGAGGGCCUCUGCUGUCUUCUCUCAAUAGGGUUGUGUCCUCUCACGCCAAUUGUACUGGCCCCUUACAGACUGGUUCUGUUGGUUCAGCUCAGAAUGACUGUCUCUGUUUCUAUCAGAGGGACUGCGUCCAUUUCUUUGAGAGGGACUACAGUGAGAUCUCUCUGAGGAAUUGCGACCACUCCUCUCAGAGGGACUACAGUGAGUUCUCUCUGAGGAACUGCGACCACUCCUCUCAGAGGGCCUGUACUGUCUUCUCUCAAAAGGGCUGUGUCCUCUCACACCAACUGUACUGGCCCCUUUCAGACUGGUUGUGUUGGUUCUACUCAGAAUGA
rnacentral:lncRNA from 1 species